GUAAGGGACCCUGUUACUCUCUGCCCCGGGUAUGGAGGAGCUGCGUCCUGGAGACCAGAGUGUUUGCCGCUGUCCUCAUCUUUCCUGGCAAGGUCCUGGUCCAAAUCUUUCUACUAUCGUGUUCCUCAGACCAGGGGCCGGAGGGAAGACCUGACCCUUCGGGAAUCUGGGCUCCUCUCCGGAGUGGGGAGGGCUGAGGGUUGUUCUGGAAUAGGCAAUUGCUGCUGCCGGUGAUCCUAUUUGCAUGCCAAUGGCAGAGCCUACAGGAUUUAGCUGAAGGGCUGGCCAGUCUGAGUUUGCAGCUCUCCACUUUGUCCACAAAUAAAGGAUCUCACCCCACGCACCACACAAUCACCCCAGCUUUCGUCCCGGGGUUCGCGUUGGAGCUGCCAGCUCAGCGGACCCGGCGGCUGCAACUGGAGGGACCUCGUUCUCUGGAAAGUGGGCACCUGCGAGCGCCCAGUAGCGUGAGUGGCCAGUUGGUUUCCACUGAAGAGGACAGGAAAGAGAUGCUGUAGACCGAAGGGAGGAAGAACAGAACUUAUACUGUAAGAUCCUUGCACUGUGCCUGUCCUGUCUUUAAGCCAACUGAUCAUGGACUGAAUCACCUAAAAACUGACCCUGUGCUCACAAAGAGGAGAAAUAGCAAAAAUAACAGAAGUGUCAACAGUGGCUACUGUUGUCCUACUGCCUGACUUCUCUUGAAUGUCUUGGUGCUUGCUGGGGUUCCAGAAGGAAAGGUCAAACAGAGGGUGUCAGUCCAUAUAUCUGUGCAUCACCGAUGGGCUUCACAUGCUUACAGCCUGACCAUUAGCAGUGUGGUAAAAACUUAAGGAAAGCAAAAGGGAGGAAACCGCCCCAGGCCAACUCCUCACCUGUGGACUGCACACUAAUCACCUCCAAGCUCUGUUUUGUUUCCCCUCAGCACUUGGCAGCGGAGGCUCCAACCAAGAAGCACACUGACAGUGGACUAGACCAACUGACUUGAGAGAAGCAGGUUAGAAUUGGAGAAGAAACCCAGUGCGGUGUCCACCAUAUUUCCAGAGUAAUAAUCAGGUCUCAUUUGGAGAAAGCGUUGUGAAGACUGCGUCACAGAGCAACUCGACUUCAGUGAUUCCAGCAUUACUUUCUUACAGAGACUGGCUGAGAGACAGUCACAGGAGACAGCCUCAGGGUGGGUGGGAACUGGACAUACAGCCCUGAGGAUUUUAAACUCUGGCCAGGAAGGACAUGGGCCCUGUCCUCUCUGGAGAGAAAAUAGGCACUGUGAUUGGGGCUUCCAGAGAGGCAGGAUCUGUCUACUGGAACCACCCGCCUACUGUCUACAUCUAGAGAGAUUAGUGGUCUAAUUGUUUUCCCCAUGUACAAAUGUGAACAACAGAUAUGAGUCAUCUUGGAUGGUUGCCACAUUCUGGGGUGUACAGACACAGGGAUGGAUCCCUGGAGCAGAAACGGGGCACCUCACAAACCCAUAGACCAUAAAGCUAAGCGGAGAAAAGGAUGACUUGCUGGAUUCAAAGACUAAAAACCCUAGAAAGAACCAUACAUUCAAAAAAAGAGACAAAAAAUAAUUGGCUCAAUUUUGUUUUCCUAUUUAUUUCCGUCAUUGAUUUGUGGGAGUCUUAUUUCUUUAUCCUAAUUUCUUUUUCUUUUCUUCUUUAUUUUCUUUUCUUUUCUCCUUCAGUUCCUUUUUUUAAGGUUCAUUUUCUUCUUUUAUUUGGCUUUCUGAUUUUUUCCUUUUCCUUCUUAUUCAUAUUUUUUUACUUUUAUCUAAUGUUAUUAAUUUCCUUUUGUCCCUCAAGAAAAUCCUUUAUUACACUUUUCUCCCCUACUUCUCAUCUUCUGUUAAUUUUUUAAAUUCUUUUUUUCAUUCUCAUUUCCCAUGCCUUUUAUCUUUCU
ensembl:lncRNA